rnacentral:lncRNA from 1 species
CCUCUCUCAUCAACCCAUCUAAUCAGUAAAUCGCUCAAAAUAUUCCUUCCAAUCUUAAGGUUAUCCUGUAGUUCUAAAAACCAUCCAAAUGGCGUCUUCGAAAUAAUGGACUUGUGCUCCUCACUCAAAAUUUCAUUCAUACCAGCAAGAGACUUGGUUUUCAAUGAAUAACGAACAAACAACUGCAAAAUAAAAAAAAAAUUGAACAAUUUUGGCUACAAAUAACCAACAAAAAUCACAACCCCCGAAAACCAAAAAAAAAAAGCAAAAUGACCAAAAAAUGCCAAAACCCAUAACCAAAUACGAAUACGGAACAAGGAUAAAGUUCAUACCAUGUUCGAAGAACCAAUGUCACCUGACGAACCCAUGGCACAAAAAAGGUAAGAACUUCGACGAAAUCGACACCCAACGAGACAAGUGUAAUCUCGAACUCAAGAGAGAACCCAACGAUGAAGGAAAUUCCUCAACAUCC